UGUGAUGGGGGUGGGGUGGGGAGAGGUUGUGAGAUGGUCUCUUUUUCUGCCCUUUUUAUUCUGUAAUCUGUUUCCUUUCCUGUCAGCUUUGAGAACCUGCCCUGCACCCCCACGAAGGAAAAAGAAAAAAAGAGAAAGGAAAAGAAAGCAAGGAUAGGUGUCUUGUAACAUCCCUAGCAGUUGCCAUGGUAAUCCAGGCUCUCAGCUUGGCCUUAGCAGAGAAAAAGAAACCCGGUCCUGCACAAACCCAGGAGCCCCUGCAUGAAAGUUAGCAGGGGUUGAUUCCACACCUGCAGGACUGUGCAGAUCUUUGUCCUCUGAGCUAAGGAACUACUCCUAACCUGCCUUGGCUAGUGUGAGGACUUGAUGUAUGUGGUCUGCCGGUGGGUUACAGCCACUGGCUCUCCAGCGGUACAAUCCUGGGGUCGCUUUUGCUCCUGGCUCAGUGCAUGGAGGGAGGUCUGAGAAGAAACCAGAGCUUAAAGGUCAAGGAGACAUUUUUAGCAGAAACUGGCACUGCUUUGACUUCAGGAGAGGUCACGUUAAGAACACUACCAAAUCCUGUGCAAAUUGAUAGCGCUGCUUAUGAAGUGCACAGAAA